ensembl:lncRNA
CUUUGUUGAUAGUAUUUGCAUUAGAGUGUUCAUUUAGAGUCUAUCCUCUGUCAUGUCCACUCAACCUCUGUAUUCAGGCAGUUGCUUUUUCUUGGAGUUCCACUCCCAUAGUUUAUCCUUUGCUUAUGAAUGGUGUUUUUUUCUCCUGGAUCCCUGAAAGUUGUUCAGGGACAUUACACCGCCCCUAAUGGAGAAGUCCAUUACGUUCGAUGAUACCACAGUGUGUUUGUCUCUGUGUACAAUGUUCUCCUGGUUCUGCUCCUCUCACUCUGCAUCACUUCCUGGAGGUUGUUCCAGUCUCCAUGGAACUUCUCCACUUUAUUGUUCCUUUUAGCACAAUAGUAUUCCAUCACCAACAUAUACCACAGUUUGUUCAGCCAUUCCCCAAUUGAUGGGCAUCCCCUCAUUUACCAGUUUUGGGCCACCACAAAGAGCGCAGCUAUGAAUAUUUUUGUACAAGUCUUUGUGUCCAUUAUCUCUUUGGGGGUAGAUAUUCUUUUGUCGCCCUUUGGGCAUAGUUCCAAAUUGCCCUCCAGAAUGGUUGGAUCAGUUCACAGCUCCACCAGCAAUGAAUUAAUGUCCCUACUUUGCCACAUCCCCUCCAACAUUCAUUACUUUCCUUUGAUGUUAUGUUAGCCAAUCUGCUAGGUGUGAGGGGAUACCUAAGAGUUGUUUUUAUUUGCAUCUCUCUGAUUAUAAGAGAUUUAGAACACUUCUUCAUGUACUUAUUAAUAGUUUUGAUUUAUUUAUCUGAGAACUGCCUAUCCAUGUCCCUUGCCCAUUUAUCAAUUGGAGAAUGGCUUGAUUUUUUGUACAAUUGAUUUAGCUCUUUAUAAAUAUGAGUAAUUAAACCUUUGUCAGAGGUUUCUAUGAAGAUUUUUUCCCAGUUUGUUGUUUCCCUUCUGAUUUUAGUUACAUUGGUUUUGUUUGUGCAAAAGCUUUUUAAUGUGAUGUAGUCAAAAUUAUUUAUUUUACAUUUUGUGAUUCUUUCUAUGUCUUGCUUGGUUUUAAAGUCUUUCCCCUCCCAAAGGUCUGAUAUGUAUACUAUUCUGUGUUUACCCAACUUACUUAUGGUUUCCUUCUUUAUGUUUAAGUCACUCACCCAUUUUGAAUUUAUCUUGGUGUAGGGUGUGAGGUGUUGAUCUAUUCCUAGUCUCUCCCACACUGUCUUCCAAUUUUCCCAACAGUUUUUAUCGAAUAGUGGAUUUUUGUCCCAAAAGCUGGGAUCUUUGGGUUUAUCGUAUACUGUCUUGCUGAGGUCGCUUUCACACAGUCUAUUCCACUGAUCUUCCUUUCUGUUUCUUAGCCAGUACCAAAUUGUUUUGAUGACUGCUGCUUUGUAAUAUAGUUUAAGGUCAGGGACUGCAAGGCCCCCAUCAUAUGUGUUUUUUUUCAUUAUUUCCCUGGAUAUACUUGAUCUUUUGUUCUUCCAAAUGAACUUUGUUAUGGUUUUUUUUUUUUUUAAAUCAGUGAAGAAGUAUUUUGGUAGUUCAAUGGGUAUGGCACUAAAUAGAUAAAUAAGUUUGGGUAGGAUGGUCAUUUUUAUUCUAUUGGCUCUUCCUCUCCAUUAGCAGUUAAUGUUUUUCCAAUUGCUCAAGUCUAAUUUUAGUUGUGUGGGGAGUGUUUUGUAGUUGUG